AACGCUGGCGGCGUGCCUAACACAUGCAAGUCGAACGGAGUUCUUAAGGAAUGCGACUUCGGUCAAAUGACUUUUGAACUUAGUGGCGGACGGGUGAGUAACGCGUGAGCAACCUGCCUUUCAGAGGGGGAUAACAUUUGGAAACAGAUGCUAAUACCGCAUAAGAUUACAGUACCGCAUGAUACAGUGAUCAAAGGAGCAAUCCGCUGAAAGAUGGGCUCGCGUCCGAUUAGAUAGUUGGUGAGGUAACGGCUCACCAAGUCGACGAUCGGUAGCCGGACUGAGAGGUUGAACGGCCACAUUGGGACUGAGACACGGCCCAGACUCCUACGGGAGGCAGCAGUGGGGAAUAUUGCACAAUGGGCGAAAGCCUGAUGCAGCAACGCCGCGUGAGGGAAGACGGUUUUCGGAUUGUAAACCUCUGUUUUCGGUGACGAACAAAUGACGGUAACCGAGUAGGAAGCCACGGCUAACUACGUGCCAGCAGCCGCGGUAAUACGUAGGUGGCAAGCGUUAUCCGGAAUUACUGGGUGUAAAGGGAGCGCAGGCGGGAUAGCAAGUCAGCUGUGAAAACUAUGGGCUCAACCCAUAAACUGCAGUUGAAACUGUUAUUCUUGAGUGGAGUAGAGGCAAGCGGAAUUCCGAGUGUAGCGGUGAAAUGCGUAGAUAUUCGGAGGAACACCAGUGGCGAAGGCGGCUUGCUGGGCUCUAACUGACGCUGAGGCUCGAAAGUGUGGGGAGCAAACAGGAUUAGAUACCCUGGUAGUCCACACUGUAAACGAUGAUUGCUAGGUGUGGGGGGUCUGACCC
rnacentral:rRNA from 1 species